GACGUAGGGCGCGAGCGUUGUCCGGAUUUAUUGGGCGUAAAGAGCUCGUAGGCGGCUUGUUGCGUCGACUGUGAAAUCCCGCGGCUCAACUGCGGGUCUGCAGCCGAUACGGGCAGGCUAGAGUUCGGUAGGGGAGACUGGAAUUCCUGGUGUAGCGGUGAAAUGCGCAGAUAUCAGGAGGAACACCGGUGGCGAAGGCGGGUCUCUGGGCCGAUACUGACGCUGAGGAGCGAAAGCGUGGGGAGCGAACAGG
rnacentral:rRNA from 1 species